CCCGUAGGGUGCGAGCGUUGUCCGGAAUUAUUGGGCGUAAAGAGCUCGUAGGCGGUGUGUCGCGUCGGCCGUGAAAACCUGCAGCUUAACUGUGGGCUUGCGGUCGAUACGGGCAUCACUGGAGUUCGGCAGGGGAGACUGGAAUUCCUGGUGUAGCGGUGAAAUGCGCAGAUAUCAGGAGGAACACCGGUGGCGAAGGCGGGUCUCUGGGCCGAUACUGACGCUGAGGAGCGAAAGCGUGGGGAGCGAACAGG
rnacentral:rRNA from 1 species